CUGAACGGCUCCAGUUGUCGUUUCGAAAAGGCCGCGGAGGUCAUUUGUUCGAAAGGGCUUGUUCCUCCUCUCCUCUCCUGUCUCCUCUUUUAGUCGCAGGGUUUAAGGGUUGCUCUGUUUGUUCUUGGUUAAUCUAGCGGGUCCCUAGCUACCUCGGGCUAGGCAGGGUCAGCGGCUGACCCCCUAGAAGGAGCGAGUAGAAGGACCCUUGCCCGACGAGGCCGCGCGACGGGCUGCGCGCCACGGAGGAGUUCGGCAGUUGCGGCGGGACGCGGCAGACGAGGUACCCGUAGAGGGUUGGCGGCCUCCCCUUGGGGUUGAUGUCCGAGUUGUGGAGAGAGAACUAUCUGAUAACGGUACUGCUACCUUGGGUGUUCAUGUAGGAUUAGCUGUAGCCGUUCUGUAAGUCUCUUGUUCAAGAGGCCACCAAACAGGUGGUGUUUCAAGGAAUACAACUGAGCUACGACAUAAUCCGGAACUGCUUCAGACCCACCAUGUUGGUUCUUUACUGGCUUUGCUACAGCUCGUUUAAGGAUAGAAGGAGUGCGUUAAGUGCUACCUGUCAUAGUGCUCUUCUAAGGGGAUGAACCACCUCGUCUUUGGUCUCCUACCGCUACUUCUACGGGUUCAGCGUUUUUAGCUGACCUUCUAUUAACUCCUACUACAGCUGUUUGGGAAACAUCGCAGUCCCGAUGUCACACACGGCAACGGCCAUUACGUGCCUCUCCCCAUAUAAACAAAUCCGAAGAAUAAACCCUCCUCUCGAUCUCAACGUAUAAAUAGACUACAGAGUUCUAAAGAUGGAUUUUGGCUCGUACCAUUUUUCCUUUAUAACCAGGUAUUAAGCAAUAAGUCUAUUAAUCUUACGAACAACACCUAGUGUCUACCCUCCCAACAAUUAGUUAUGUCGUACUGCAAAAAGUGACUGUAUACAAAUUCCCCAUCAACAUUACUUUGUCUUUCUACAAUAAUUAGACAAUUUGUCGUAGGUUUUAAGAGCUGUAACAAAUACUACAGGAACUAUUAGAUCGUCCAAUUCAUAGAUUACAACAACGAUUUUGACAUAUAGUUUAGGAUAUACACCCCGUGGCUUUUAGUAUUUUCACAUGUGCAAUUGAAGUCACUAAAGUAGACUAGUUUAAGUUACCAUCAUUGUGAAAAGUCAUACAAAGAACCUCUGGUCUCAGAAUCAUGCACAGUCAAUAGUUUAUUAUCAUAAUUGUUCCAACGUUUAGUAUUAAAGUGUACCAUUUUGUAGAUUAUCGAUAAAAAAAUCAACCUGAAAGAACAAAGGACGUAUAAUAUGACGAGGUACAAUGGCUCACCUUACGACUUAACGACUACAACUCAGAAGCGGAGAUCGAUAAAGUUUUAGACCACGACCUGUUCAACUAGAUGAAUAUGAUCUUCGUUGAGAAACGUACCUCAGCAUUCGGGUGGGGAGUAACGGACAGUCUCUUAUGUUUAACUACUAAUAAACUAUACUGAUUUAAGGUUUACGACAGUUUAUACAACUAUGAGACUGUGUCUGAAGUACAAGACUUGUCCCUCUAAGAAAGUCGUGGGUAAAUUGAGACUCACUCUCAGAACUACGAUAGUUCUCCUAGGUAGGAUUUUCUCGAGACAACUAACCUUACUCCGUAAAAAACCCCGUAGUCUCUCUUUUGGUCUACAACCGUCUUACCAGAUAGUCUCUUCCUUAUGGCUGUGUUGACCGAGUACUGCCGGACGCUCAGAAGUAACUGAACAUUAUUCCAUACGUUCCAGCGAUACGUUAUGAGCUCCCGGACUGAUCAACCAUUGAAACUUGUUAAAGUUAGUACAGUUACGUCUAAUGUCGUAGGUACAUAGAAAACGACUAAGUCGCUUCUAGGCGGUAUCGUCAUCAAAGUCGUCAAUAAAACACUAGAAAAUACAUAAGUUUUAUAAAAUUCAAACGAGUACAUCUAAAAUAUAUGUGAUACAUCAUAUAACAAGAUAAUAAGAGUUUAUCCACAGUAAUUGACCUCCGGUGUGACUACAGGAUUCGCUGUUCAUUUAUUUUCUCCCACAUACACCCCCUUUAUGGGAAACCAAGGACCCACAUAUACGUGGAGUAUAUCCUUUAUUAUUUUUUUUUCAGUUUUUUCAAACCUUCAAAAAACGUUACUUGAACUGAAAGAAAACGUGAUCAUAUGUUUAAAAGUGCUUAUCUUUUGGUUGCAACUGAAGUCCCUUUUUAUGUUAAAUUAACGAUAAUGUCCAGUGAUAAGCGUGAUAAAACUGGCUUAAAAGAUAGAAAAAAAAUUUUCUUCAGUUGCUAUAAAAAAUAAAAACACCUUAAAAAAAAUGGUCACGUAACCUUACAGUUCAAAUAAAGUUUUCAUGAAAGUCCUAAACACUGAAAAAUAAAUUAAUGAUUUAUAUCAAAAGUAUAUCCCACAUAUAUGUAGGAAUCUGGUUUUCAAAGGGAGGCACAUACACCAUUGUUUAGGAGACGCCGGCUGCCGUCACUCUUGAACGAGGGGAACACGGCCAGAGGCUUCAGGCAACAAGGUGGCCAUCCACCGCUGUUCGAUGUCCUAGCCUGAUGAGGUUACCACCACCGCUGGCAAGAGACCUUCCUCCUAAUCACGUAGCUCCCCUCCGUACGACAGCGCCCAUCGUCUCGUCCUGCCUUCCCUAGCCGCCGUCCUAGCGUACCGCCACUGUCCGGGAUACGCCAGUGCACGACCACGAUACCUCGACAGAGCCGUGGCAGCUCCGUCGUAAUUCCAGCCCCACGACACCACGCACACCUGAAGUGCGGGGGUCCCCACCCGGGUCAAGUUAAGUACCCAUAAGUCAACUUAUCGAUGUUAAAAACGGUUUCUUUAAAUGUAUAUAUGGC
rnacentral:rRNA from 1 species